rnacentral:rRNA from 1 species
UACAGAGGCCUCGAGCGUUAGGCGGAAUCACUGGGCUUAAAGCGUGUGUAGGUGGAUGCCUAAGUACCUUGUGAAAUCCCAUGGCUUAACCAUGGAAUUGCUUGGUAUACUGGGUGUCUUGAGCCACUCAGGGGCGAGCGGAACAAACGGUGGAGCGGUGAAAUGCGUAGAUAUCGUUUGGAACGCCAAUGGUGAAAACAGCUCGCUGGGGGUGCGCUGACACUGAAUCGCGAAAGCUAGGGGAGCAAACGGG